UACGUAGGGAGCAAGCGUUGUCCGGAAUCAUUGGGCGUAAAGCGCGCGCAGGCGGCCCUUUAAGUCCAUCGGUCAAAUGCCGGAGCUCAACUCCGUGCGUGCCGAGGAUACUGCCGGGCUAGAGUCCGGAAGAGGCGAGUGGAACUCCUGGUGUAGCGGUGGAAUGCGCAGAUAUCAGGAAGAACACCCGUGGCUAAGGCGGCUCUCUAGUACGGUACUGACGCUGAGACGCGAAAGCGUGGGGAGCGAACAGG
rnacentral:rRNA from 1 species